AACCUGCGGAUKGAUCAUUAACAAACUCCGAAACUCU
rnacentral:rRNA from 1 species